AUGCAAGUCGAACGGUAACAGGAAGAAGCUUGCUUCUUUGCUGACGAGUGGCGGACGGGUGAGUAAUGUCUGGGAAACUGCCUGAUGGAGGGGGAUAACUACUGGAAACGGUAGCUAAUACCGCAUAACGUCGCAAGACCAAAAAGGGGGACCUUCGGGCCUCUUGCCAUCGGAUGUGCCCAGAUGGGAUUAGCUAGUAGGUGGGGUAACGGCUCACCUAGGCGACGAUCCCUAGCUGGUCUGAGAGGAUGACCAGCCACACUGGAACUGAGACACGGUCCAGACUCCUACGGGAGGCAGCAGUGGGGAAUAUUGCACAAUGGGCGCAAGCCUGAUGCAGCCAUGCCGCGUGUAUGAAGAAGGCCUUCGGGUUGUAAAGUACUUUCAGCGGGGAGGAAGGGAGUAAAGUUAAUACCUUUGCUCAUUGACGUUACCCGCAGAAGAAGCACCGGCUAACUCCAUGCCAGCAGCCGCGGUAAUACGGAGGGUGCAAGCGUUAAUCGGAAUUACUGGGCGUAAAGCGCACGCAGGCGGUUUGUUAAGUCAGAUGUGAAAUCCCCGGGCUCAACCUGGGAACUGCAUCUGAUACUGGCAAGCUUGAGUC
rnacentral:rRNA from 1 species